GUACACGCUGUGACUAGCAUAUCAAUAAGCGGAGGAAAAGAAACUAACAAGGAUUCCCCUAGUAACGGCGAGUGAAGCGGGAAGAGCUCAAAUUUGAAAUCUUAAAGGGUUUCCCUUUACGAAUUGUAGUUUAAAGAAGUGUUUUCUGUUGAGGUUUUGGUAAAAGUUCUUUGGAAUAGGACAUCAUAGAGGGUGAGAAUCCCGUAUUUGACCUUUACUUUCAACUUUGUGAUACACUUUCAAAGAGUCGGAUUGUUUGGGAAUGCAGUCCAAAAUGGGUGGUAAAUUUCAUCUAAAGCUAAAUAUUGGCGAGAGACCGAUAGCGAACAAGUACCGUGAGGGAAAGAUGAAAAGAACUUUGAAAAGGAGAGUUAAACAGUACGUGAAAUUGUCAAAAGGGAAGCGUUUGACACCAGUGUUGUUUUUCUGAAAAUCAAUUAAAGAACUGUUUAUGCUAAGUUGUUUAGACUUUAUCAGCUAACUGUUUAGUUUUGAGCUUUUCUUUAAUGCACUUUUCAGUUAACAAGUCAACAUCAAUUUCUUUUGCUGUAAAAAAGCUUGAGGAAGGUGGCUUGAGAUUCGUCUUAAGUGUUUAUAGCCUCUUGCCUAUGCAGUCGGAGAGAUUGAGGUCUGCAGCGUAGAUCCUUCGGGGCUAAAUGCAUUUGUGCUAAGUUAUAGCAUUUUAUAGACAACUUGUUGACUAUGAUUUGUCUUGUAGCUUACUCGCUUAUGUUAUUUUACCUACGCUUAGGAUGUUGACAGCAGUAUAGACUGU
rnacentral:rRNA from 1 species